rnacentral:rRNA from 1 species
UACAGAGGGUGCAAGCGUUAAUCGGAAUUACUGGGCGUAAAGCGUGCGUAGACGGUUAUGUAAGUCAGAUGUGAAAGCCCCGGGCUCAACCUGGGAAUUGCAUUUGAGACUGCAUAGCUAGGGUGCGGAAGAGGGAAGCGGAAUUCCCGGUGUAGAGGUGAAAUUCGUAGAUAUCGGGAGGAACACCAGUGGCGAAGGCGGCUCUCUGGGCAGAUACCGACGCUGAGAUGCGAAAGCGUGGGAAGCAAACAGG